UUCCGGUUGAUCCUGCCAGAGGCGACCGCUAUUGGAGUUCGAUUAAGCCAUGCGAGUAGAAAGAAAUUAGAUUCUUUGCAUACUGCUCAGUAACACGUGGAUAACCUGCCCUACACUGUGGGAUAAUCUCGGGAAACUGAGGAUAAUACCCCAUAGACCACUACGCCUGGAACGGUGAGUGGUUGAAAGCUCAGGCGGUGUAGGAUGGGUCUGCGGCGUAUCAGGUCGUAGGGGGUGUAAUGGACCUCCUAGCCAUCGACGCGUACGGGUUGUGGGAGCAAUAGCCCGGAGACGGAUUCUGAGACACGAAUCCGGACCCUACGGGGUGCAGCAGGCGCGAAAACUUCACACUGCAGGAAACUGUGAUGAGGGAACUCCAAGUGACUGCACAUUGUGUAGCCUUUUCUUGAAUCUUAAUAGUUCUUGGAAUAAGGGCUGGGAAAGACCGGUGCCAGCCGCCGCGGUAAUACCGGCAGCUCGAGUGGUCGUCGCUUUUAUUGGGCCUAAAACGUCCGUAGCCUGUUUGGUAAAUCUGUGGGUAAA
rnacentral:rRNA from 1 species